AGCGCUGUAGCAAUACAGAGCGGCGCACGGGAGAGUAAUACAUGGGAACCUACCUUUUGGUUCGGAAUAACGUCGGGAAACUGACGCUAAUACCGGAUACGUCCUUCGGGAGAAAGAUUUAUCGCCGAUAGAUGGGCCCAUGUUGGAUUAGCUAGUUGGUGAGGUAAUGGCUCACCAAGGCUACGAUCCAUAGCUGGUCUGAGAGGAUGAUCAGCCUCACUGGGACUGAGACACGGCCCAGACUCCUACGGGAGGCAGCAGUGGGGAAUAUUGGACAAUGGGGGCAACCCUGAUCCAGCCAUGCCGCGUGAAUGAUGAAGGCCUUCGGGUUGUAAAGUUCUUUUGACGGGGACGAUGAUGACGGUACCCGUAGAAUAAGCACCGGCUAACUUCGUGCCAGCAGCCGCGGUAAUACGAAGGGUGCUAGCGUUGUUCGGAAUUACUGGGCGUAAAGGGCGCGUAGGCGGCUUGGCAAGUUGGGUGCGAAAGCCCAGGGCUCAACCCUGGAAUUGCACUCAAGACUGUCUUGCUUGAAUUCGGUAGAGGUUGGUGGAAUUCCCAGUGUAGAGGUGAAAUUCGUAGAGAUUGGGAAGAACACCCGUGGCGAAGGCGGCCAACUGGACCGACAUUGACACUGAGGCGCGAAAGCGU
rnacentral:rRNA from 1 species